CAUCACUUCAUUUUUUUGCGCCUGCGCAUAAAUCUGAGAGACGUGAGUUUGUCAUCAUUUUUUAUCUAGACAUAGGAUAGGUUGUGUGAAAAUAUUACUGAUGUUUAACGUUAAAAAUGGACCAAAAGAUUAAUGCUAAACAACAUUUGACAUGUUUGAACGAACAUAAAUAGAUUAUUUACUAGGUUUUUUAGCUUUUCGGCGUGAUUUUACCAGCCCCACACCACGUUUUCUGGGAGCAUAAUGAACGCUAAGUACUUGGUGUUAUUUGGACAUAAAUUAUGAACUUUGUCAAAAGAAACCACAUUUGUUCCGGACCUGGAAUGCCUUCCGGACCUGGGAUCCUGCCUUCUGAUGGAGAUAAUCAAAGGUAAGGGGGACCUGAGCCCUAGGACCAUGCCUCAGGACUACCUGGCUUGAUGACUACUUGCUGUACCCAGUUCACCUGGCCGUGCUGCUGCUCCAGUUCCAACUGUUCUGCCUGCGGCUAUGGAACCCUGACCUGUUCACCGGACGUGCUACCUGUCCCAGACCUGCUGUCCCAGACCUGCUGGAACCCUGACCUGUUCACCGGACGUGCUACCUGUCCCAGACCUGCUGUUUUCAACUCUCUAGAGACAGCAGGAGCGGUAGAGAUACUCUCAAAGAUCGGCUAUGAAAAAGCCAACUGACACUUACUCUUGUGUUACUGACUUGUUGCACCCUCGACAACUACUAUGAUUAUUAUUAUUUGACCAUGCUGGUCAUUUAUGAACAUUUGAACAUCUUGGCCAUGUGCUGUUAUAAUCUCCACCCAGCACAGCCAGAAGAGGACUCGCCACCCCUCAUAGUCUGGUUCCUCUCUAGGUUUCUUCCUAGGUUUUGGCCUUUCUAGGGAGUUUUUCCUAGCCACCGUGCUUCUACACCUGCAUUGCUUGCUGUUUGGGGUUUUAGGCUGGGUUUCUGUACAGCACUUUGAGAUAUCAGCUGAUGUAAGAAGGGCUAUAUAAAUACAUUUGAUUUGAUUUGAUUACUCCCUGUUCACCCAUGACUUCAUGGCCAGGCACGACUCCAACGCCAUCAUUAAGUUUGCAGACGACACAACAGUGGUAGGCCUGAUCACCUAUAGGGAGGAGGUCAGAGACCUGGCCGUGUGGUGCCAGAAUAACAACCUAUCUCUCAACGUAAUCAAGACUAAGGAGAUGAUUGUGGACUACAGGAAAAGGAGGACCGAGCACAGCCCCAUUCUCAUCGACCUCAAACCAAUUGAGAUGGUUUGGGAUGAGUUGGACCGCAGAGUGAAACAAAAGCUGCUAACAAGUGCUCAGCAUAUGUGGGAACUCCUUCAAGACGGUUUGAAAAUCAUUCCAGGUGAAACUGGUUGAGAGAAUGCCAAGAGUGUGCAAAGCUGUCAUCAAUGCAAAGGGUGGCUACUUUGAAGAAUCUCAAAUAUAAAAUAUAUUUUAAUUUGUUUAACACUUUUUUGGUUACUAUAUGAUUCCGUAUGUGUUAUUUCAUAGUUUUGAUGUCUUCACUGUUAUUCUGCAAUGUAGAAAAUAGUAAAAAUGAAGAAAAACCCUGGAAUGAGUAGGUGUGUCCAAACUUUUAACCGGUACUGUAUAUAAAAUAAAAACAUUAUUUUGUUGGACAUAAGACUGUGAAAUCACCAGGAAAUCAGCUCAAAGUGAUUUUAAUUCAGGAAAUCUAUUCCCACGUAUUCCCACGCAUAAAUAGAGGCAUAUCCCAAUGCAAUAAAGGUUUU
rnacentral:lncRNA from 1 species